GUGACACAGCAGGCAGACUCAGAAUAUAAGCAGGAAAUCGAUCUCUUGCUCAUCCUCUUCCUCCUGCUCUCUUCUCUACAGAGCUGCCAUGUGAUCUCAGGAAGAGGACUACAGCAAAAGGCAUCCUUCAUAAGGAACAACUAUAAACAGUAAGACGAAGAAAAAUCAAGAGCUCCUGGGAUUAUGAGAUACUUGGAUAAUUGGGGAUUACUUACACUUCUACUCCCCAUGGAAAGCAUCUCAGUGGUACAAUGGUUCCCUCUCAAAUGGGGUUGAUGAUUGGAGAGGACUGUCCAAGACCAACAGAGUAUUCCUGAAACCACAGGUCAUAUUGAAUUCAGUAAUUGCACAAUUUUUGUCUCAAGCUACAGUUCAUUACAGGAGGCCAAGGUGAGAAGACAGAGGCAGGAAUCAAAUUAAUAUAGAGACCUUGGAGAGAUGUUGCUCACUGACUUACCUCCUCUGCCUUGCUCAGCUGAUGCCUUUUUUAUACAGACAGGUCCAUCUGCAGAGGGCCAGUUCUUCUCACAGUGGGCUGGAAAAUUGCCCCCAUAGACAUACCCGCUGGCCAAUCAGAUGGAGGCAUUUUGUCAAUUGAGAUUUUCUCUUCCUGGGGAUUUCUGGUGAGAGAAAAAAGCAGCCAUCACGUGGGUAUAAAUAUGACAUCUCCAUAUCUACAUGUGUGAAGACAAGUCCCUUUCACCUGCCAACUUUAUGACCUCAGAUGGCCUUCUGUACUCCACUAAGAUCUUAGGGGAAAAAAACUAAUAAGAAAACAAAUACCUAGUGUUUUGUUCUCAAUUCUUGCAGUACAAAGAGAAAAGGAUGAUUUGCUUCUCAGCAUGCCAAGGAUGUCCUUAUCAGAAGUAAAUUUCCAUAAUGUAUGGAAACUGACUCAUAAAUUCUGAGAAGAUAUACAAGAAAAACCCUUUAAAUCAAAGUAAAAAGUGGACAGGCUGUACUUGCUCUUUGCUCUGUGGUUUCUAUGCCACAGUUUUCUAAUUAAAAUCCUGCUUGUAAUUGUAUUGUUCUUCAAGUUCUUGUUUUAGUUGCAUCUGUGUAUGAUUGACAGCUCCUGUACCCAUCUGCUGGAGGGAAAGUGAUUAGAACAGUAACCCAAGCAGCACUUUAUUUUGAUACUUUGCAAUGCAGAUAAUGGUGUGUGUGUGUGUGUGUGUGUGUGUGUGUGUGUGUGUGUGAUUGUGCACGCACGCAUAUGCAUGUGUAAAAACACUUCAGGCUCUAUGGCUGAGUCCUUUUUGUUUAUGUAUUUGUAUAUAUCAAAUGAGGCUUCAAGUGCAUGAACUUCAAGUGGCCACUGGUGGUAAUAAACUGCCACAAACAGAUGAAGUGAGUAUAUUGUUUCCCUGUGUUCUGCCUACGUCUAUGAAAUGUUAUGAUCAAAAUUAUGCACAGUGACUGUUAUUUGUUCCCCUCCUACAGAUAGCUUUUCUGUAUUCUAUUAAGAUCUUGCUUAAAAAAUAAAACAAUAACUGAACAAAAUGUUAGCUGUGUGCCCUUGAAUAGCUUAACUUCUAAAAAUCCUUCCGUUUUCUAACCCUCAAAAUUGUAUAAUUAGGGUGAAUCACCCUUCAGAGUUUUGAGGUAUUAAAUAGGGUAACAUUUGUAAUGCCUGGAACAGCUUUGUCAUUUGAACUGUCAUCAUUAAGUGCUAACUAUAGUAAAUACAAAUAUACCACCAAUCCCCUUAAAUUUCUCUGAAAUUGGAAAAUUAAGCAGCAUUAUGCUCAAUUUACAUGUGAAGAAAAUGGGCCCAGACUGUUUACAUGAUGGCAUGGUUCUCCUGACUCCCUCAGAUAGGAGUCUGGCAAAUGCUCUUCCUUCAGAGUAAUGACAUAGUUUGGGAACUGUCUCAAACUAGCAAACAUUAUUGAGUGUUCUGAGAUUUCUGCAAACAUAUAAAAUAGAAAGAUUGUAGUAGAUAUUGUUAUUGUGAUCGUGAAGAAGAUGAUGACUUGUAAAUAAGGAUAGAGAAGAAAUUUCUGCAUUGGAUAAGCUGAGGCAGGAUGAUCACAAAUUCAAAGCCAGCCUGGUAUAGGAAAUAAGAUCUAUCUCAAACAAAACAAUACAAUGCAGAACACAAAAUAGUGGCAGUGAAUUUGUACCAUCUUUGCCACUGACCUUACUUGGACCCUUGUUGUAUGUAAGAAUAUGUUUUUCUGCCUUAAUUUCUGUGUGAUAAUAUGGUGGCUUAUAGAAUUCUUGCCUGAAUUAUUUUCCUAUCUUUUGCUUUCUUGUUUAUAAACCAUGAGAGAGAAGUCUCCCAUUGGUUUACAGUACCAUGCAAGCAAGAAUUCCCUCCUUUUGAACAGGCUUUAAUCCAAUUGGAAAGCUGUUAGUUAUCCCUAAGAUAAAAAUGCAUAUGGUUGGUGGGUCACAAUUUUAAUUCCAAAAAUCAGGAGGCAGGAGGCAGAGGAAGGUAAAUUUCUGUGAGUUCCAGGCCAGCCUUGUCUACAGAGAAAGUUCCAAGACAGUCAGAGCUACACAGGGAAACCCUGUCUGGAAAAGCAUUAUUGCAACACUGUUACCAGUCCAGUCAAAGGCUUUACAGCUGGGGUCUGCGUACAGAUUGACUGCUCUUCUCCUUUGACAGCUCCCACAGUAUAUUGAGAUUCCAUGAGAGCCACUGCACAGGGAAAAAGUAUCCACGUCAGUUGGGACUUGAUUACUCUGAAGCAUGUGUAGUCUUUAGAUACAUUCAAGCUCUAAGAGGCAACAAGAGCCUACACAAUUUAGAGAAUUUCUUGGACUCCUCUCACCAACUACUUUACAGGGGGAUUUUUCAUGGUUGGCACUAGGGACUUUGUUAGCUGGUCUAUGGUUCUUAGGGUUUUGCUCUAUUUUAUUAGUGGGUUUUGUCUCUUUGUAAUUAAAUCAAGGUAAUAAAAUAACAAUUGUCUCCAAUUUUCUAAAAGGAAAAGAAAACUACUUUUAUCAUUUUCUAAAGGCUUUGUGUAUGCAAUCAUGUGGAUGAAGAUGCACGUGGAGUCAACUGCAUGUCCAAAAACCAACCUCCAACGUCAUUGCACACACUGUCCAUUUUGUUUCCCAAAACAGACUCUCUCACUGGCUUCAGCUUCCCAAGUAGGCUAGUCUGACUGAUUCAAGAGCCUUUGGAUUACAGCUGUUCCUUCCUUCCCAAUAGUGAAUACACCAUUCCUAGCUUUUUAUGUGAUUUCUGGGAAACAUAUUACCUAAUAAGCUGAGAUACCUCAGCCCCAAAAGAACAAAAUUCAAAAUGGAAAGUAAUGAAAAACUUAUAAAACCUUUACAGAAUUUCAGACAUGAUUUCACUUAUGGUCAAUCGGAUGUGAAUAUAAAAUUAACUUGUUCCAACAAGACACUCUUGAAAGUAAAACUAAAUAAGGUUUUAUAUAUGUAUGUAACUAUGUAUACAUAAACAUACUAGACACAUAGUAUGUGCCAUGUGGCAUUCCAUUUGCAUUAUACACAUUACAUAUUUACCUCUAAUGAUAUUUAUGUCUGCUUAUUCACCAAUUUUUAUAUUUGAGAAAAAAGUAUAAACUUUAACAAUGAGGCCAGGUAUUACAUAUCUGUGGAAUCACUGAGUAUUUUAAACUAAGGCAAGGUAUCAUAUUGUGAAUUAAUAAAAAUUUAGUAUUUUGAAGUGUUCUUUAGUGGAUGAUUUUAUAGUAUUUUCCUCCUUCUGCAAUGUAAAUUUUUUAUUUGUAUUAAACUGUAUUCAACUUGUAAGAGCUAGUAGACCAAGACACCUUCUUCUAAGAGAGUGUCUCCUAGAUAUGACAGGGAAGUUGCACCCAUGGUAUCUAAAAAUUACAAUCACCUAAGUAAGACCUACCUAAUGAUACUACCCAUUGACAAAAUGGCUUGUGUAGGGAAAUUUUAUAAAGCCCCACACUUCAAUGAUGGCUGCUGAGAAAGGGAGAAUCAGACUUCUUUAGGGAUAACCCACAGAUAGGUUUUCUGGCCCCAAUGAUCAUCCCUACACACAUGCACAUUUGAACAAUAUGAACUUGACUCAGUAGGUUGCACAUAAACAUUCACAUACAUUUAUAUAAAAUGAAAGAAGCCAUGGAAAGGAGUUGGUGUAUGGGAAUAGUUGGAGGGUGUGAAUGAAGGAAACAUAGUACUCAUAACAAAUUAUCAAUAAUUUAAAAAGUUGUAAUUAAAUUUAACAAUCUCCAACAAUAAGUUGAGAUUGAAAAAACUAAAAUCAUUAGUAUUUGUGUCUCUGCUGCUAAAUCCAUGUAUUCUAUCCAUUGCACAGGUCUGCCCUUUUUGAACUUUUAUGCUGUUGGAUGUGAUCACAUGUAUCAUACUGAAAUCCUUCAUCACUAGUGUUAUUACCUGUCUUUGGGGACCUCACAAAGCAAAAUUCAGUAGCUCUGGAGGAUACAUUGGUAUAUUUCCUACAGAGUAGGAGAGAACCCAUGAUGCAAUGAAGGAACUUUUGUGGGCUCCAAAUGCACCCUUGAGGAAUCCAGACCAUCAUUACUGAAGUAAAGCAGUAUGCUCAUGGGAAGAAAUUGUGUCCUUCAAAUUUACAAGACUAUGAUCAAGGUUAAGAAAAUUGCUCUUGUUUAAAACAUGAAUUGGGGCUCCACAUCAUUUUAAAAACUAGUUAUUGUCAUGCCACUUAAGGUUUCUUCUGUGAGCCACUGCAACCCACAAAGUGUGCAUUAAGAAUUUUUUAUACAUACAAAAUUUAAGAGAAAUUGUCAGAAACUUUAGGGUAAAUUUGAAAUUAUGUUGACAAAUAAAUCACUGAAAAAGAAACAUAAAUGAUAAUUUUAAUUUGUAUUUUAUGAUCCAUGAUUUAAUCACUAUUCAAUGAAUUUCAGAAAAGUACAAAAAAAGUUUUGAUCUUCUGCCACAAGUGGUAUGAUAGGUGAAUAAUAAUGUAUAUAUUACUAAGGUAGUUUUUUAGGUGUUUGAAAUUCUUCUACUAAUGUUACAAUCAUUUUUAACACAUCAAAGUUUCUAGAAUGCUCUAAAAUUGUAUCUCUAGGUCAUUCUUCACAGUAUGAUGUUGUAUGAAAUAUUGUAUGUCUAGUCAUGGUCACUUUUCUUUGGCUUGUGAAAUGUCUUCUCCACAAUGGACUUGGCAGCACUGCCUGGAAAUCUGCUCUGUCCAUGUGUUCCUUCUCCCUCUGGUCCUGAUUGUUACCUGGCAAUGCUCCUUGGAAAGAAAGGAUGAACCUGUGCCAUACCAGAAUGCUUUAUGCUUUUUGACAUUUAUGGCCAUACCUGCCAAAUUUCCAUUUUGAAUUUACAUUCUUUGUGAUAACAAUAAAGACAGGCAAUGUUUCUCAAGAAUGCGAAAAUCAAUAAUAAAGAGAAAAGCAGAUUUA